AGUCUUAGUCUCCAGUCCUGGGCUUCAUAGAUGUUCAGUGCCUACAGCUGUCUGGUCCUCCUAGGAAGGAGAGUUUGCGGUGGCCAGCUCAGAAUUCAGUACACAAAGCUAGAAGCUAGGAGCACGGUCUGAAUUGGUGAUGGAGCUCUGGGAAUCUGGACGCUGGAGUUAGAGAACUGCAGCCAGAACUGUGUGGCNNNNNUUUAAGGCAACAUGGAUCUUCAAACAGCAGCCACAGCGUUGGCUUGCGGCGUCCCUCCAGCCCUGCUAUGCCUGCCUAGGUCAGGUGUGUCGGCAUGGAGUGAAGAGGACGGUGAUGAAAGAAAGAGCCUGUAGGCAGAAAAGAAGAUGAAGUGUGAGGGUGAGAAGAGAAGGCAUGGAGUGUGGACUGUCUUCAGCAUCUUAAGAGUUCUUCCGGAAAGGCCAUUGUGGCCAAAUUUCCUUCAGUCAUCAUUCUGAGCUAUCCCACCCUGACACACCCUGCUACUUCUAUCCAAGUACAUGUGCACACAAGCCUAAUGCAUUAUCUUGGCAAUCUCUCUCACUUCCUUGCUUUAAUUUCAUUUUGGGAGUAACUUCUUGUCAGUCACUGUCUUUCCGACUAAUUCAUGUCAAACACCAAAGGCAGCAAAUUCCAUGGCAGCUUGAGACAUGCCCACCAUCUGGACAGAGGGCCCUCUGAGUUCAAAAUCUUCUGUUAGCAAUGCUCCCUCCUCCAAACAUUUGAUUCUAGGACAUUCCACUUCAGCUCCUGUCCUUCCCUUUGAACAGUGCACACAGGCCUUAGACAGCAGCUGGUGGCGGCCUGGGCCCGGCAUUCACUCUGAGGCGAAAUUGUUGAUCUUGGUCAGUAGCACUGCUGUUUCUAAGCCUAGAGAAGUAAGAGACGGGUCAUACAGGGAGUGAAGCCAGGGGAAAUGAGGAGAAAAUAAGAAAGGAAGGGCAAGGGCAUUCUUACCUGUUCUGUUUCUCUUAGCACAUCCCCUAGAGAGGGGGGGAAGAGAGAGAGAGAGAGGGAGAGAGAGAGAGAGGGAGAGAGAGAGAUUGAGACUUUCUUUUUUUCUGUUGCAAGUUCCACCAACUUGUUACAAGACUCUCCAACCCAGGGUUCCCCCAAACUGCUUUCGCCAGGGUCAAGACAUUUUAUAGAGAUCAGGAAGACUCGAAAUUUGCAAUGACAAAAUCUUAAUCCCGGGCAGUGCACUCCAGUCAGACUCAACCCUUUUUACUUGGGGCCCGGGGAAAGUGCCCAGGAGACCAAGGCAAAAGCACUCACCCUCGGAGGAGGAAGAUACUCAAAAGCAGCAGAAUGGAGGCACAGUCGGUGAUCACCCAAAUCAUUAAGUAUUUUUGAGGGGGCUAUGGAAAUGGAAAAGUCCCAUCAGUGGCCAGAACUCCCAAGAGUAGCAUAUGGGGUAAAUAAAUAUGGAGGGGUACAGGUUUAAGAGGAAAUAAGAGAUUGGACAUGAGGGGCAGGGACAGUUCUAGAGUCCUUACAAGAAGCCAGAGGGGGUUCUGCAUCUGUUGCAGCAGCUGGCAGGCAUUGGUGGUGACAGAAUCCACCCCUGCACACCAGAGCAGGGAGAAGAGCCAGGGCUUGUUCACUACAAACAGGUUCACUGAGAUAUUAUCCUGGUGCAGGGCCCUGUGGAAGUGGGGGGAAAUGGAGGAACAUACAGAAUUUGCCCAGCUCACGUCUGAGACUCUGCCCUGGACCCAUUCUCUUUUAUGCAGAUCUCUGCAAUGUAGAAUAAUGCUAAAGCCGUUCUCAUGGCCUACAGAGCGCUAACAAGCUUGAUCCCUGUCUAGCUUCCCAGCUUCCCCUUCCUUGUUGUUUGCUUGCUAUUCUGCCUUUGCCUCUUCUGUUUUAGCCAUCGUUAGCUCCUUGGAAUCAAUCGUCUGGUGUUUAGCUCAGUUGGCAGUGCUUUCUAAUGUGGCUCCUUACACUAAACCCCAAUCACUACUGUACCAUGUUUUCAUAGUAUCACUACCCAGCAUAAAUGUAGUUUAGGUAAUUUAUUGUCUAUAACUUUUGCUAGUUCCUAAAUUCCAUGAAAGUCAGGACCUUUCCCACCUUCUUCACAUUUGUUUCUUUGAGCUCACAAUAAAUGCUGCAUGAGUUACAGC
ensembl:processed_transcript Gm14866 predicted gene 14866